GGCUGCCACUUAGCCCCCAAGAGGAUUUUGAGCUGAACCGUGUCCCGGCUGCCCGGCUGCUGAACGCAGCUUGGAUAGAGCCCUGGGCACAGCUCCUUCUCACUGACAAGUUCAGGGCAUAGUCCCAACCACGUGGGACACAGUCCUGCUCCACUGCUGGGCUCAGUGUCCACCAAUGGGCACAGCAGUGGGAGCAGCAGGCUUCAAAAUCCGCCUACACAGGUCCUCCCCAGCUCUGCCUCAGCCUUCCUCACCUGCCAGGUGGGCGGGGAAAGGCUUUGUGACAUCACAGAGCCUUGCGUGACAUCAGCCCGUGACUCGUCACGUCAGCAACCCUUGCAAGCGCAGACACGCAGGGUGGCCACUCGGUUCUGGUGGUCACUGCCUGAACUCUGCUCGGGGUGACAGCCCAAGCCAGAUUGCGCGUCGAGAUUUUUUUCCUCGGCAGAGACCACGAUGAGGCUCAGUCCAGUUCAAUCCCUCACCAUGGCUCUCUGCAUGUUGUUUCUGUUCCCUGGUGGCCUUCACCUUUGCGUCCACGCCGACUGCUUCAUAGUCGGGAUAGAAGUCCUUCCUGAAGACCUGGAGCAGCCACCCGUUGUCGCUGAGAGCGUGGCCUCCGAAUGGACCAGCACCAUUGGCCUUCGCAGCCCCCACGGCUGGGCCAGGGUCAGGAUGGACGUCGCUCCUGAGGGCCUGAAGCAACCGCCCGCUGUCGCCGACAGCAUGGCCUCCGAAUGGACCAGCACCAUUGGCCUUCGCAGCCCCCACGACUGGGCCAGGGUCAGGAUGGACGUCGAUCCUGAGGGCCUGAAGCAACCGCCCGCUGUCGCCGACAGCAUGGCCUCUGAAUGGACCAGCACCAUUGGCCUUCGCAGCCCCCACGGCUGGGUCAGGAUCAAGAUGGCCGUCGCUCCUGAGGGCCUGAAGCAACCGCCCGUCGGCACAGAGAGCAUAGCCUCUGAGCUGCACGGCCCUCUGCGCCGGCUUUGGGACCACCUUGUCCAGCUGGACAGGACCUGGCACCUUUGCAGGGCCUGGCAAACCAUGUGGCUGCUCCACACGGUUUCGAUCGCACUGCGCCUCUGGAGAAAUGUGAAGAGAUCCCAGGGACAGGCAAGUGGACAGACGGCCGCAACUGCCACGGGGCCAGGCCGCCUGGGAAGGCACACCGUCUCCAAAUACGAAUUGCUCUGCCUAAUGGAGGCCAAAAUCACCUUGCUGGUCAGGUGCCUGAGGCAUACCCACCGCCUCCGCCUGAAAGAGCUCCGGCACCAGUACUCCAGGAGGGUGGCACAAGAAAAAGGUAAUUAGAGGAGAGCCUUCUCUAGCUCCCCGUGCAACUCCAGCUAGAGCGUGCGCCCGGCGGAUUGGCAACACGAAAGGCAGUGGUGCAACUGGGUGCUGCCGUCCAUGAAGGGGUGGCAGCCAGCCGAAGGCUCGUGGGGUGAGGACACCUCCACUGACUGCAACCUCUUCUGCUAGCUGGAGGCCAUUAUCGCCCCGACGAUCAUGUUCCUGCACGGUGGCCAUGGCCAAUGGGUGGCCACGUCCUGGCGGGUUGCCCGUGCCCACCUGGCACAACAGCCAACAGGCAUUUGGCAACUCUCUGACGAAGACCCCUGGGGAGGGUCCCCUUUCCCACCCUCCCAAAGGUGCUGCCAGGGUCCACCGGCAUCCAGAAGGCCAGGGCUCAUCCCCGUGUCUCCAAAGGGGACAGCCAGACCAUGCCCGUGCAGCAGAGCCAUCCGGGAAA